GUUUUGUAACCUGUGUGUUUGAACAUGUAGGUGCGUUUAUGCAAACCACACAGUAUGUGCUGAGCAAGUCCACAACGCACCUAACCCCGGAUAGAUGGGUACUCUUUCUAUGGGACGUCCUUAACAUCUGGUUGAUCGGCAUGUUCAUCUAUCUGAUACACAAUCUCCGUAGAAGGUAUGAUACUGUCCAUUAAAGCUAGAGUCUCGCUGACACUACAACAAUCAUGUAAACAUUGUUCCUUCAGACAUGGUUGGUUAUUUUCCAAGCCAAACUCUGGCUGGAAUGAAAUCAACUUUGCACUGGACAUUAGCCCUGGUCCCAGAUCUGUUCCUGCUAUAUUGCCGAAUCAUUGUCUCUCAUCGUCUUGCCAAACAUGGCAAUUCCAUAAGGAGACAUCCAGGCUAACUGGCCUGUGUUUAUUGGCAAUCUAACUUAGGUGAGACAACAACAAAAAAAUACAAAUGAUUAAAGUGCAGAAAGAGUGAUUUUUACUGUCCUGGCUAGGGUUGCAGAAUUACGGUAACUUUUCCAAAAUUCCUAGGCCUAGUUCUGGCCAUGAUGAUGAUGAUGAUGUUUUUGAUUAUGAUGAGGCUGAUGGUGAUGGUGAUUUUGUUGUUGUUAAUUAUCAUGAUGAUGUUCCUGUCCCUUAGGGAAGCCUAUACAUGGAUGUACACCACUCCUGCUGUCCUGCCCUACGGAUUCUACUUGUCCUGGAUCGUGAAUAGCAUUUUGAAUAUGGCGUGGUUAUUUCUGUACGACAAAGAAUUCUGUGUUUGUCAUAGAAAGAUGGUGCCAACGCUGCUGAUCACAGCAUUACAGGCCAUCUCCAACUGCGUGAUUAUCAUGUUCUCCUGCUACGGACUGGUCGUCUAUGGAGCAUGGCUCCAUAAAUAUCACAACAAUGAUCUCUGGCUCAUUCGAAUACUGGUGCAAAACGGAGUGGCUUUGUAUGCAACAUGGUGGGCUGUGGCUACCUUUUUACACUUGACCGUUGUUUUAGACCAUCAAACCCCAAUACCCAAGACAGAUGCUGCCAUAAUGGUACUAGUGCUGCUCCAAUUGGGACUCAUAGGAUGGUUUGUCAUAGAGAACUGGUAUCUGGAUAAGCACGUGCGCUACAUCCUCACAGUGUACCCUGUGGUGAUCCUGGUGUUGGCCGCGAGUGUGGCCAAUCCAGCCACGCCCGGUACCCACAUAGACAUCAUGUCUGCUGUCAUAUUGGCCAUAACUAGUGUCAUAUUCAUUGUGCGCAUUGUCAUGGUGUUAUGGAAGCACAACAACAAACCGUUUUACGGAGAAGAGGAGCUCAUGUCUCCAGUGGACAUCGCCAGAACACAGAAGCUCAUCUUUAUGUAGGAAGAAGAGAGCCACUGCGGAGAUUCACGUUUGAAUGUUGUUUUCCUAAACGUUUAAUGGCUGAGACGUGAUCAAACUCUCCCUGUGUUGGAUUCAUAAGGCUUUGCUUCAGCAAGACAUGUAGGUGAGGAUUUAGGCUAGUAGUGCCUUUGUACCGUACAGAUUUAGUUCAUAACCAUUGGCCAUGCUAAUGUCUUUUUCGAAAUCAUAUCAAUGACUGUGUGUGAUAAAACUAUGGACCGGCAUUCUCUUAUGACCGCAAUACUAAUUUAAUGACAUUAAUGUGAUUGUGUUCUUUUUUAAAUGUAUUUAGUUAACCUUUAACUGCCACCAUAUUGUUUUUAUACCAGGAUCUGAUCUACCUUUGUGUUUUGACGUUUUGUUUUAGGUGCUAUACUGUACAACAAUUUGGACUGCAUUUAUGUAUGAAUGAAGCUAUAGAAAUAAAGUGUAUUAUUAUACUUACCAAUGCA
ensembl:lncRNA